UGCAUGGGUGUUCGUCAGCUCGUGUCGUGAGAUGUUGGGUUAAAGUCCCGCAACGAGCGCAACCCUUAUUUUUAGUUGCUACCAUUUGGUUGAGCACUCUAAAGAGACUGCCCGGGUUAACCGGGAGGAAGGUGGGGAUGACGUCAAAUCAUCAUGCCCCUUAUGUCUAGGGCUACACACGUGCUACAAUGGUGAGAACAAAGAGACGCAAGACCGCGAGGUGGAGCCAAUCUCACAAAACUCAUCCCAGUUCAGAUUGCAGGCUGAAACUCGCCUGCAUGAAGCCGGAGUUGCUAGUAAUCGCGAAUCAGCAUGUCGCGGUGAAUACGUUCCCGGGCCUUGUACACACCGCCCGUCACACCAUGAGAGUUGGCAAUACCCGAAGUCCGUGGGAUAACCGCAAGGAGUCAGCGC
rnacentral:rRNA from 1 species